AAGCCAUGAGGAUAAUUUAUGUGCUGAAUUUUAUUGAUUCAUUUAUACGCUAUUCUGAGCUUUUU